UAUUUAAAUAAAAGAAAAAAAAAAAAAAACUUCGUUCUUCCUCCCGAUUUCUUCUUCUCCUCCCAUACCUUAGCAGCCGCACCCUCCAACCGUCGAUCUCCACUCUUUCUUUUCUUCUCCGAUCCACGGCCGCCACCCCAAAACCUCUCUUCUCCGUUCACCCAGUCGGCCACACAAGCUGCCGGUCGUUUCUUCUUCUUUCCGGUCGUCUUUCUUUUCUUUCUCCGUUCACCGAAGCCGAACCCAACCGCCACGUCUGUUUCUUUCUCCGUUCACCGAAGCCAAACCCAACCGCCAUCUCUGUUCGCGAAGCAAGGCCGCCGCGUGAACCUGUAACCGCCGGCUGUCUCCCCUCUCCUUUCUCCUCUGUUUUCAGCCCAGCCGCCGCCGAUUCCUUUCUCCUCCGUUUUCUGCACUGCCGCGCGACUCUCCGUCCGUCUGUAUACAGUCUCUCCGUCGCACGUCGUCUCUUCGCAAAGCUGCUGCUCGACUUCUUCCGCGAAUAACACCUGCCGUGAACCGAACUAAAGACCCCAUAUCCAACUUUCUGCGUGUCGAGUUCCUUCUUCGUCCUGCCGCAGGAUUGGGUCGUUUGCUGUCGUUCCUGUUUUGCCACAAGUCAUUAAAUAUUGAUUGGUUGAAGGUAACGCUCGAAUUCCUUGGGUUUGCAGCAAACAAUUGAUUCUGGUUGAAACGAAAUUCGUUUCGCGAAGAUUUGGGUAAGUUGUAAAAAUUCACAUUGGGUUGAAUUUAAAUGAUUGAUGCGUUGAAGGGAAUUAUUGAGAAAUUGUCUUAAUGUUUAGAUUCGUUCUUUGUAGACUUCAACGUGGUUAAGGAGCUUAACUAACUUGAAAGUAAGGGAUUUUCUACUGGACUCACCUAUGCUUUUGAAUUUCACCUAUGCUUUUGAAUUGUAAUGUCUGUAUAGUCACCUCUGAUUGAGUAAAUGUGUUGAGACAAUAUAUAUAUAUAUAUACGUAUGGAUGUA